AUACGGACGAGUACUGUGGGGAGCAUGUUGUAACUCAAAUUUACUUGAUUCAAUUGAAAGACUUCAUUGUAGAGCAUCUCGAAUCAUUUUUAACUUACCAAGAGACAUGCCUUUAAAAGAGGUACUGGCCUACGAUUGGUGGCCCACUAUUUAUUUAUAUUAUAAAAUAGACAUUCUUAAGAACUUUUUUUAAAGCACAAAAUGGUGGCUUGCCUGAAUUGCUGUCUAAUAGUAUUUACAUACAAAGGAGUAAUGGAUAUUCACUACAGGGUGGAGACUGCUUAUCAGUACCAAGAUUUGAAACUAGAUUUAUGAAGGAUUCGCUGGCUUACAGAGGCACCGUUCUGUGGAAUACGAUAUGUCUCAAUGAGAAUGGAACAUCACAUCUGACCAACAAAGAUCGAUAAGAAAAUAAAAUGUAAGUUCAUUUGGAAAUAAAAAAUUCAAAGCAAUCAUUUGAAUUUUCUUUUUUUUUUUCGGAAAAUUGCUCUUCCUUGAAUUUUGACAAAGUGUUGAUAGCACUGAACAACAAACUACUGGAACCAGUUACUGAAGUUCAAUUGGUAGGAAAAUUUAACUUCUUAUAAGACACGUGUGUUCUAUGAAAUUACUUAUUAUAAAUUACUCAUAAAAAAGAUGUUUAAUCAGUGAAUACGUAAAGAUGUAGUAUUAAUAUUUAUCACCAAAAAGGAAAUAAAUGAACAAUGAGUCACGUGCUUAGCAUUACGUCAUAACAGUUGUUACCUGCAUUAGUAGAACAGGGCUGCCAUGUUGGAGUGGAGGAUUGACACACCAGACAAAAACACUUGGGUGGCUAAAAUUAUUGUGUAGAAUGUGCUGUCUUUACAAUGACAUCUACAAAUGGUUUGAAGUUCUGAUCUUCUUGGAUGAGGGGUUCUAAAUCUUAUUCUAAAUUUUGUGGUAUCCAUUUGAAGAAAGCUCUUGGUCGGUACUGGAAAGUUUUUACAUUUCUAUUAAUUUCAUCUUUUUUUGUAGAAAUUGUUACAUGUUUUGGAACACCUUUUAAAAGUGAUAUUCCUUGUGUGGCUUGAAGAAUGUCUCAAUUUUGCACAAAUUUGGAAGAAAUCACAAAUCAGAAAGUGGUAGUGUUUUGUCAAAGACUAUAAAGGUAAACAGAUAGAUAAAUUAACAAAAUAAUGCAUGAUUUAACAAAAUAUCAUGGGAACUGAUAUGCAUUGUGUUUACUCUUAAAUCUUUUUUUUAUUUUUUAGAUCUUUUAUUCAAUGAGUGCAAAAACAGAAAAAGGGAGAACUCAGAAAGUUUGUUGUAUGCGGCCCUUGCUUUACCUAACCUUGCUUUGAUGUCAUCUUCUGUGCCGCCAGAGUUGCUGACAUGAGCACCCAGAUUCUGAAAGAUCAGUAAAAGAUAAUUCUAAAGGCUGUUCUUGUGGUAAAAAUAUGGCAAGAGGAAGCAAAUCAUCGUGCCUUUCUGCCACACGCAAGGUUUGCCCUUGUGUGCAGAAAGGGAUAUCGUGUACCAGAAGGUGCAGGUGCAAAAACUGUGGCAAUUUGAACCAGGAUCUAAGAAACGAAGGGGAAGAUUCAGCUGGUACAAUGCCAUAUAGACACCUGAGCUGUAGACGUGGAGAAAAUAUGGCAAAGAAGAGGGAAGAUGCCAAAACAUUCGCAGCCUGUAGGGAUGGAGAAAUCAAGUCCAAGUGCCCUUGCCUGAGACAUGGACAGGGAUGCUCCUCUUUGGGCUCCUGUGUCGGUCGCAAAAAUGUGUACGGUGCCAGUUCUCGCCCUACCUCAAAGCCGUCUGGGGUGAAGAGAAAAAGGUCACCCGGAAUCCAUAAAAGGCUGAAAGGAUCAGAGUUCCUGUCGUCGACAGGGACUCCGCAAACACGCGGACCAUGGACAAAUUAUGAGUCAGUUUUAUUAGCAAGUGUAAUAAAAGUUAUAAAUAUAACAGAUGUUGAACCAUCUCCGAAGACAUUUCGUCACUAUACAAUUUUGUAAUUAGAUCAAAAUCAUCAGGGCAAAAGCCCGUUAAUCUGUUAUCAAAAACAGCUGCGCAGAUAACUGCCAAGUUGGCGCACAUGUAAAAAAAAAAAGAGAUGUAGUGUGCGCUCGUCUCAAUGCAAAGCAACAUGAUUAGUGCACUACUCGAAUUUACCGUUUUUAUUAAUGUUGCAAGAGUAACUAGUUCUCGUUAGAAAAAUUAAACCUCGAUGCUUUUGUUUACAGAUUAUGGUAGUUAAGUUUCCUUUAUUUUCCAUCUCACGAUGAAAGCGAUGAGCAACCCCCUAUCUAUAGUAAUGAUUUUAUUAAAAACGCAUUUGAACAUG
rnacentral:misc_RNA from 1 species